rnacentral:rRNA from 1 species
CCUACGGGUGGCUGCAGUGGGGAAUAUUGCACAAUGGGGGAAACCCUGAUGCAGCGACGCCGCGUGAGUGAAGAAGUAUUUCGGUAUGUAAAGCUCUAUCAGCAGGGAAGAAAUAGCGACCUUUGGGUCGCCAGACGGUACCUGAUUAAGAAGCCCCGGCUAACUACGUGCCAGCAGCCGCGGUAAUACGUAGGGGGCAAGCGUUAUCCGGAUUUACUGGGUGUAAAGGGAGCGUAGACGGCGGCGCAAGUCUGAAGUGAAAUGCCGGGGCUUAACCCCGGAACUGCUUUGGAAACUGUGCAGCUAGAGUGCAGGAGAGGUAAGUGGAAUUCCUAGUGUAGCGGUGAAAUGCGUAGAUAUUAGGAGGAACACCAGUGGCGAAGGCAGUUCACUGGACUGCAACUGACACUGAGGCUCGAAAGUGUGGGUAUCAAACAGGAUUAGAUACCCUAGUAGUC